rnacentral:rRNA from 1 species
AUACGGAGGGUGCAAGCGUUAAUCGGAAUUACUGGGCGUAAAGCGCGCGUAGGCGGUUAAGUAAGUCGGAUGUGAAAGCCCCGAGCUCAACUUGGGAAUGGCAUUCGAUACUGUUUGACUAGAGUCUGGUAGAGGGAAGUGGAAUUCUCGGUGUAGCGGUGAAAUGCGUAGAUAUCGGGAGGAACAUCAGUGGCGAAGGCGACUUCCUGGACCAAGACUGACGCUGAGGUGCGAAAGCGUGGGGAGCAAACAGGAUUAGAUACCCCGGUAGUCC